rnacentral:rRNA from 1 species
AGAGUUUGAUCAUGGCUCAGGAUGAACGCUAGCGGCAGGCCUAAUACAUGCAAGUCGAACGCUCAGUAGCAAUACUGGGAGUGGCGCACGGGUGCGUAACGCGUACACAAUCUACCUCUAAGCGGGGGACACCUCCUGGAAACGGGGAUUAAUACCGCAUAAUAUGCCGAGGUCGCAUGACUUUGGUAUUAAAGCAGCAAUGCACUUAGAGAUGAGUGUGCGUCCCAUUAGGUAGUUGGUGAGGUAACGGCUCACCAAGCCUAUGAUGGGUAGCCGGUCUGAGAGGAUGGUCGGCCACACGGGCACUGAGACACGGGCCCGACUCCUACGGGAGGCAGCAGUAAGGAAUAUUGGUCAAUGGUGGAAACACUGAACCAGCCAUGCCGCGUGGGGAAUAAGGUCCUACGGAUUGUAAACUCCUUUUGACGAGGAAGAAAGUGUUAGAUUUAUCUAAUUUUGACGGUACUCGUAGAAUAAGCACCGGCUAACUCCGUG